UGACACGGUGUCCAAGGUUGAUGCGAUUCCGUAAAGGAGGGCGGGAGAAAUCUAUCAAGAGGGCAGGAGUAGCCUAUCAAGCGCAUAAUCUGGCAAACACUCUGAAAGGGGUGUGUGCAUUUUCAUGAUCUGAUUAUCGUUUAGACCUAAAUUUAAUUUCGUUACAAAUUGAAUUUCUCUCUUCCAUUUGGAUUGAUUGUUCUAUUGCGUUGAAUAAUGUAGGCUAUAGCCUUACGCGCGUGCGUCCAUUUCCAAUUUUAUUGCGCAAAACAUAUGCCAUAUUAAAGCAAGGCCUUCUCCAUCUAAAUAACGUGAUCAUCCAGGAGUUAUGAAUAUCUAUUUUGCAAUAUUUGCCUUCAUGGCACCUGUUGUUAUUGUUAUGAUAACGGUAGGGGUAUCAUGUGUAAUUCAUCGAAGGAGGCACAGUCGGAUUGAACGCUCACUUCAAUGAUGGACGCUCUGGAUCUCCAUGACCCUCAGACACCAUGGCACAGCCCACACCCCCAGGAUCACCAUCACCCCCAGACACCAUGGCACAGCCCACACUCCUGGAAGCCUCCCUGGGAGCCAUCAUCAUGACAUUUCACAAGCAUGCUGGCAGUGGAGAUGCCAAGACCCUCAGCAAGAAAGCUAACCAACCUCAUCAAGGCAGAGCUGUCCAUCAUCGCUGUGUGUCAGCCAUUCAGUGCGAUUGACAACAAAAUACUGAAAUCCUAAUGUAUUGUCAUGAGCAGAAGGGUGGUCCUGAAGGGGAUGACCUGAUGACGAUGCUGGACGGCGACGGCGCCCUGAACUUCAUGGAGUACCUUACCCUGAUUGGAUCCCUUGCCUGCAUGUGCAACUGCGUCCUGGAAGAGAAAAUGUGUUUGCAUUUCAUGAAAAAACCUGCCUGCUUCCAUCUGCUUUCUACAGUGUAUUGCAUUAGGCCUACAUGUCACACUAAUGUCUCAUAUCUCAUUGAGUACAUUGGGUAAAUGCCAUCCUCCCUGUGUCCACACGCAUGCACGCACGCCCGCACAGACACAAAGGCUUGCAUAACUCGGCAAUAAUUAUGAGACUGAUCCUCAAAUACAUUUACCCCCAUGGAUGCGUUGUCAGAAAGUAGCUCAGUUGGUAGUGCAUGGCGCUUUCGAUAACAGGAUAGUGGGUUUGAUUCCUGGGCACACCCGUUGUAAAAUGUAGGCGCGCAUGACUAAAUCGCUUUGGAUAAAAGCCUCUGCUAUAAAUGGCGUAUGUUGUUAGAUUAUAUUAUUAUAUUAAGAUCUCAAGAAUGCUGCUAAACAGAGCAUAGCAUGUGAGGUAGUAAACAGUGUGUGUAGGCCUAAGUAUUUACCGUGAUAUGUUUUAUCUUUGCUGCUAAUAAAUGGGCAAAAUCCCCA